UACGGAAGGCAGCAGUGGGGAAUAUUGGACAAUGGGCGCAAGCCUGAUCCAGCCAUGCCGCGUGUGUGAAGAAGGCCUUUUGGUUGUAAAGCACUUUAAGCGAGGAGGAGGCUCUCUUAGUUAAUACCUAAGAUGAGUGGACGUUACUCGCAGAAUAAGCACCGGCUAACUCUGUGCCAGCAGCCGCGGUAAUACAGAGGGUGCGAGCGUUAAUCGGAUUUACUGGGCGUAAAGCGUGCGUAGGCGGCUUUUUUAAGUCGGAUGUGAAAUCCCCGAGCUUAACUUGGGAAUUGCAUUCGAUACUGGGAAGCUAGAGUAUGGGAGAGGAUGGUAGAAUUCCAGGUGUAGCGGUGAAAUGCGUAGAGAUCUGGAGGAAUACCGAUGGGCGAAGGGCAGCCAUCUGGCCUAAUCUGACGCUGAGGUCGAAAGCAUGGGGA
rnacentral:rRNA from 1 species